ACUAUAUAUAGUGUUCGAGGUUCCUUCGAUUCGCAAGGAUUGGAGGCUAAGAUGGGAAUACGGUCGCCGAGCAUGAUGCUCGUCAAGCCGUAGCUGCCCCCGCAACUGUGAGCGGCGAGUAUUUGUUCUGCAUGUGCCACUGAGGAAUAUAUGCCUCGGGAAGGCAAGAGCAAAUACUUCGACCCGCAAGCCAGGAGACCUGCCUCGAGCAAUAGCGUCCA
rnacentral:ncRNA from 1 species